rnacentral:rRNA from 2 species
AAACUCAAAGGGAUUUGACGGGGGGCCCCGCACAAAGCGGGUGGGAGCAUGUGGUUUAAUCGAAGGCUACGCGAAAGAAACCUUACCAGGUCUUGACAUCUUGCGCCAACCCUAGAGAUAGGGCGUUUCCUUCGGGAACGCAAUGACAGGUGGUGCAUGGUCGUCGUCAGCUCGUGUCGUGAGAUGUUGGGUUAAGUCCCGCAACGAGCGCAACCCUUGUUACUAGUUGCCAGCAUUAAGUUGGGCACUCUAGUGAGACUGCCGGGUGACAAACCGGAGGAAGGUGGGGACGACGUCAGAUCAUCAUGCCCCUUAUGACCUGGGCUACACACGUGCUACAAUGGACGGUACAACGAGUCGCGAACUCGCGAGGGCAAGCAAAUCUCUUAAAACCGUUCUCAGUUCGGACUGCAGGCUGCAACUCGCCUGCACGAAGUCGGAAUCGCUAGUAAUCGCGGAUCAGCAUGCCGCGGUGAAUACGUUCCCGGGCCUUGUACACACCGCCCGUCACACCAUGAGAGUUUGUAACACCCAAAGUCGGUGGGGUAACCU